UACGUAGGUGGCAAGCGUUGUCCGGAUUUACUGGGUGUAAAGGGCGUGUAGCCGGGCUGACAAGUCAGAUGUGAAAUUCCGGGGCUCAACCCCGGACCCGCAUUUGAAACUGUUGGUCUUGAGUAUCGGAGAGGCAGGCGGAAUUCCUAGUGUAGCGGUGAAAUGCGUAGAUAUUAGGAGGAACACCAGUGGCGAAGGCGGCCUGCUGGACGACAACUGACGGUGAGGCGCGAAAGCGUGGGGAGCAAACAGG
rnacentral:rRNA from 1 species